GAAUCCCUAGAGUGGGCCUAAAUGCUGUAGAAUAUGCAUCUCCUGCGUAAGAAGACCCCAGACCCUUCAUGAGACAGAACACACAUCUCGGAAACGAGCUGGCCGCAUUUUGCCUUCUGUAACUGAGACAUAAGCAGCGGUCCCAGCAUCUUCACAGCAAAAGCCUCUCUCCAAGAAACUCCCCAGAAAUAAGGAUGGCUCAGAUGAUUCUGCUGCUAGUGAUUUGUGGUCUCAUAUUGUGUGGACUUCAUCAUUUUGUCUUCCGUAGGCCUGACAUGGACAAACGACCCAAUCCUGGUAUGUAUCCAUAUGCUUGGGGCCAAUGGCUAUGCCACAGUCAGCCCUUUGAUGCUAAUCAGGGCUGAGAAACAAAUAAUAAAAACUAUGCAAACCAUACGGAAGAGGAAAG
rnacentral:lncRNA from 1 species